CCUACGGGGGGCAGCAGUGAGGACUAUUGGUCAAUGGGCGCGAGCCUGAACCAGCCAAGUCGCGUGAGGGAAGACGGUCCUAUGGAUUGUAAACCUCUUUUGUCGGGGAGCAAAAGACGCCACGCGUGGCGUUCCGAGAGUAACCGACGAAAAAGCAUCGGCUAACUCCGUGCCAGCAGCCGCGGUAAUACGGAGGGUGCAAGCGUUGUCCGGAAUCAUUGGGCGUAAAGAGUUCGUAGGCGGCAUGUAAAGUCAGGUGUUAAAGGCGCAGGCUCAACCUGUGUAUGGCACUUGAUACUUGCAAGCUGGAAUGCGGUAGAGGUAAAGGGAAUUCCUGGUGUAGCGGUGAAAUGCGUAGAUAUCAGGAGGAACACCGGCGGCGAAGGCGGCCUGCUGGACUGAAACUGACGUUGAGGCUCGAAAGCGUGGGGAGCAAACAGGAUUAGAUACCCGGGUAGUC
rnacentral:rRNA from 1 species